rnacentral:rRNA from 1 species
AGAGUUUGAUCAUGGCUCAGAUUGAACGCUGGCGGCAUGCCUUACACAUGCAAGUCGAACGGCAGCGCGGGGCAACCUGGCGGCGAGUGGCGAACGGGUGAGUAAUAUAUCGGAACGUGCCCUGGAGUGGGGGAUAACGCAGCGAAAGUUGCGCUAAUACCGCAUACGAUCUAAGGAUGAAAGCAGGGGACCGCAAGGCCUUGUGCUCCUGGAGCGGCCGAUAUCUGAUUAGCUAGUUGGUGGGGUAAAGGCCUACCAAGGCAUCGAUCAGUAGCUGGUCUGAGAGGACGACCAGCCACACUGGAACUGAGACACGGUCCAGACUCCUACGGGAGGCAGCAGUGGGGAAUUUUGGACAAUGGGCGAAAGCCUGAUCCAGCAAUGCCGCGUGAGUGAAGAAGGCCUUCGGGUUGUAAAGCUCUUUUGUCAGGGAAGAAACGGUGUGGGCUAAUAUCCUGCACUAAUGACGGUACCUGAAGAAUAAGCACCGGCUAACUACGUGCCAGCAGCCGCGGUAAUACGUAGGGUGCAAGCGUUAAUCGGAAUUACUGGGCGUAAAGCGUGCGCAGGCGGUUUUGUAAGUCUGUCGUGAAAUCCCCGGGCUCAACCUGGGAAUUGCGAUGGAGACUGCAAGGCUAGAAUCUGGCAGAGGGGGGUAGAAUUCCACGUGUAGCAGUGAAAUGCGUAGAGAUGUGGAGGAACACCGAUGGCGAAGGCAGCCCCCUGGGUCAAGAUUGACGCUCAUGCACGAAAGCGUGGGGAGCAAACAGGAUUAGAUACCCUAGUAGUCC